rnacentral:rRNA from 1 species
CCUACGGGUGGCAGCAGUCGAGAAUCAUUCACAAUGAGGGAAACCCUGAUGGUGCGACGCCGCGUGGGGGAAUGAAGGUCUUCGGAUUGUAAACGCCUGUCAUGUGGGAGCAAAUUAAAAAGAUAGUACCACAAGAGGAAGAGACGGCUAACUCUGUGCCCGCAGCCGCGGUAAUACAGAGGUCUCAAGCGGUGUUCGGAAUCACUGGGCCUAAGGGGUGCGUAGGCUGUUUCGUAAGUCGUGUGGGAAAGGCGCGGGCUCAAGCCCCGGACGGCACAUGAUACUGGCAGACUAGAGUAAGAGAGGGGGAAGCGGAAUUCUAGGUGUAGCAGUGAAAUGCGUAGAUAUAGAGAAGAACAC